GACGAACGCUGGCGGCGUGCUUAACACAUGCAAGUCGAACGGUGAACCAGGGCUUGCCCUGGGGAUCAGUGGCGAACGGGUGAGUAACACGUGGGCAACCUGCCCCUGACUCUGGGAUAACUCCUCGAAAGAGGUGCUAAUACCGGAUACGACCACUUCGGGCAUCCGAUGGUGGUGGAAAGAAUUUUGGUCAGGGAUGGGCCCGCGGCCUAUCAGCUUGUUGGUGGGGUAACGGCCCACCAAGGCGACGACGGGUAGCCGGCCUGAGAGGGCGACCGGCCACGCUGGGACUGAGACACGGCCCAGACUCCUACGGGAGGCAGCAGUGGGGAAUAUUGCGCAAUGGGCGAAAGCCUGACGCAGCGACGCCGCGUGAGGGACGACGGCCUUCGGGUUGUAAACCUCUUUCAGCAGGGACGAAGCGCAAGUGACGGUACCUGCAGAAGAAGCACCGGCUAACUACGUGCCAGCCGCCGCCGUAACAC
rnacentral:rRNA from 1 species